GACGAACGCUGGCGGCGUGCUUAACACAUGCAAGUCGAACGGAAAGGCCCUGCUUUUGUGGGGUGCUCGAGUGGCGAACGGGUGAGUAACACGUGAGUAACCUGCCCUUGACUUUGGGAUAACUUCAGGAAACUGGGGCUAAUACCGGAUAGGAGCUCCUGCUGCAUGGUGGGGGUUGGAAAGUUUCGGCGGUUGGGGAUGGACUCGCGGCUUAUCAGCUUGUUGGUGGGGUAGUGGCUUACCAAGGCUUUGACGGGUAGCCGGCCUGAGAGGGUGACCGGCCACAUUGGGAAUGAGAUACGGCCCAGACUCCUACGGGAGGCAGCAGUGGGGAAUAUUGCACAAUGGGCGGAAGACUGAUGCAGCAACGCCGCGUGCGGGAUGACGGCCUUCGGGUUGUAAACCGCUUUCGCCUGUGACGAAGCGUGAGUGACGGUAAUGGGUAAAGAAGCACCGGCUAACUACGUG
rnacentral:rRNA from 1 species